CAUAAAAUGACACGAAAAGUGAAAGACUAGAUUUUGAUAAUUUUGAUUCUACUUAAAUUUAAAUUAAAAGCAUGUUCAAGCUAUAUUGCACAUGAUAAAUUCGGGAAUUUCGACCAAAGAACAAUUUCAUAAGCAACAAACAAAGAGUUCAUAAGUACAGACUGCGACGUUGAUUUUUCUCUUAUUUGUGGCGUGUUUUAAAAAUGUCUCGUUGGAGUGAAGAAACAACAAUAAAAUUUGUAUAAGAGUAUUAAGAAAGACGAUGCUUAUGGGAUACAAGGGCUACCAUUUACAAAAAUAAACAAGCUCGGGACUCGGCGUAUAAGGAAAUUGAGGAGAUCAUGGGGAUAGAAGGAUUCGGAGUGCCUGAAAUCAAGAACAAAAUACGGGCGUUGAGGUCAACUUAUUCUCAAGAAAAAAAGAAAAUAAGGGACUCUAUGAAGUCAGGAGCAGGAUCGGAGGAUAUUUAUGUCCCCAGUGUAAAAUGGUUUAAGGAAAUGGACACAUUUUUACGUAACAUAGAGGAUAAUAAGAGACCUACGCAGGAUAAUUUCAAUAUACAACGCGAAGAAGAAGUUAAUGAACAAAGACGAGAAAAUGAAGAAGAAAUAAUGGCUGCAAGAAACGAAACGUCUCAGGAAGUACCGCAGAAAAAAAGUAGAACUACGUCAAAAUUGAGGCAAGUUACUGCAGUAGUUAACGACCUAAAAAAAAUAAGCGAAACUAUCACGCAUGAACCUGCCAAUGAGCAUGAAUACAUAGCUUUUGGUCGCAGUGUUGCUGCACAAUUAAUGAUGUUAACUCCUCUUUCCGCCAUACAAGCACAGGAACGCAUUCAGUCUGUUCUGACAAGUUUUAAACUACAAGACCUCCAGGCCCAGAGUAACCAGUACGACACAUAUGCAGAUACCAGUAGUGCUCUCGCCUCAUCUUCCAUCAUGCACCACUGCAGUCCCCUAAAUAUUCCGACAUGCAUUCUUCUUCUUGCAACUCGUGCAGAAUCAGUUGCCGAUGAUAUUGUACGAUCACAGAUAACAGCAAAACCUUUUUCCAAUAUUAAACAUGUUUUGUUCAUCAACAACUUUUUCGUAAUAAUAAUAUUUAAAAAUAA